CGCGUAGGCGGCCCGCUAAGUCGAACGUGAAAUCCCCGGGCUCAACCCGGGAACUGCGUCCGAGACUGGCAGGCUCGAAUCCGGGAGAGGGAUGUGGAAUUCCAGGUGUAGCGGUGAAAUGCGUAGAUAUCUGGAGGAACACCGGUGGCGAAGGCGCCACUCUGGGCCGGUACUGACGCUGAGGAGCGAAAGCGUGGGUAGCAAACAG
rnacentral:rRNA from 1 species